CAAAAUCACGCUCCAAGGAUGCAACGCCCGACCCGCCUCCUCCUGGUGCUGGUGCUGCUGAGCGCGGCGGCCAUGUUGGUGGCGGACGCGGCGCCGCUGAAGGAGGAGGAAGCCAAGGAGCUGAGUGUGAAGUGUAUCUUAUGUACUCCUGACUGUCGCCCAUGCUACAAGCCGGACCAUAAUAACGUCUGUCGCCCUAUAUUCGGCUGCACUCCUUGACGUGGAACCUCCCGCGCCAAAAGCAACGUUUGUGGGUGUCUGGAUUUAACAAAUAUUUACUACGCGAGAGUCGGUAAUAAAUUUAUAAAGGAAGAAGAAGAAGGAGAAACAGAAGGGGAGGAUGUAUCAGUAGCAUGAUAGAUUUGUUACGAGGUAAUGGUAAUGGUCUAAUAAAGUUCUCAACCUUU